AUUGGAGAGAAUUUUAUUUUCAUUUCGAUUCUAGAAAAGAUUCGGAACAUUUUAAUCUCUCAAAACUCAAUUUUUAUUUUUUCAUAGUAUUUAAAAUUUAUUCCGAUUCCGAUUUUCAUCGUAAAUCAAAUAUAUUAAAAGAUAUAUUUUUUUUAAUUUUUAUUUCAAUUCACUCCGAUUCCGUUUUCAAUUUCAACCGCAAACCAACCAUGCCCUAAGAGCAAAGCAAUGAGCUUGCAUAUGAGAAAAUUCCUUUUCUCAUGUGAAACUAAGAGAUAUAUGUAAAUCUUGUAGAAAUAAGAAAGUUUCAUUUGCCACAUGAUACAAGGGGAUUCAUGUAAAUUGUGAGAAUUAGCGUCA
rnacentral:lncRNA from 1 species